AAUCCCUCAACUCCAAUCGUCCUCUUUCUCACAGUGCUCACCAGUCGUCGAUUCUCCUUAACGACAUCACCGCCAUCGCGACAAACACAACGACACCACCCAUCAUCAUCCUUGAGGAUAUCCCAGAGAACCUAGGCCAUCACCUUAUCAUCCCCGUUAUGGAUUCUCUCCUUUUCGACAACAUCCUCGCUGUCGCGACCACCAUCACCCCAUCACCGUCGUCGAGGACACUGGUACCAGCUAUCAUCCUUCUAAAAUUUAGGUAAUUUUGAAUUAGGGUUUUGUUAUUAAUUUGAAUUUCGGGUGUAGGGAUUUUAGGGUUCUUAAAUUAGAAUUUGAGAUUUUAGGGUUUUCGAACUAGGUUACUAGAGUUAAUUUUGCAAUAGAUUACUGAUUGAAUUGAUGAUUGAUCUGUCUGCUUCUGAGAACCAGAUGGCCUUUGAUAAUCUGAAUGUUUGGACUAUUAGAAUUCCUAUUUGCAGUACAUAUGCAGCAACAACUUUGUCAUUUUGAUGAAUAAAUCAAGUCAUAUUGUUUGUUUUUGGUUCCGAUUUCGACACUACGAAAUCCUCCUGGCAACCGGUCUAGACAAUCUAAGGCGAUUUUUGUUGGUUUGGCUAUAUUGAAUUCCUACCAUUUGAUGGAUCAUGAGUUUUCUGGUCUAUACUAGACUAUGAAAUGCAACUAUAGCUGGUAAAUUUGAGGCUAGCUGAGCUUCAUUGGUUUGUUGAAUUGUGCUAGGGCUGUGAGAAAUUGGGAUUUGGGAUGAGAUGCCAACUUUUUUCUUUCCCUUUUUGUUUCAAUUUUUUUUUAUGUAAAAAUUUAGAGGAAGAGAUGAUUUUAGAAGUUACUAUAAGUCAUAAAUUUUAUAACCAUGAUCCUCAGAAAAUUAUUUUGGCAAGCUUUGAUGCCUUCUAAGUUUUUAAGGAAAUUAGAUACUAGAUAGUGUGACCACUACUGAAGAAAUGAAAACGAGGGACUGGAAACCGUGUUUUUGCUCUCAGGAAUCCCAUAAAUACUUUCACCUAUGAAGUUUAACAUGCUUAUGUAAUGUUUUGAAAAAUAGGGAUAUUGAUAAAGAUAUAAUUUGUAGUUUUUGGGGUUAGUGAGGUUCCAAAAGUCUGUCUACAUAAAGGAUACAUUGUGUCUGGCAAAGAGCGUUUUGUAUUCUUUAGGAUGUCUCAUUAGGUAGGAACUCCAAUGGUUGAAUGUUGAAGCUUAUAAAUUGUAGUGGCUGCAAACGAAGUUGAACUCACAAUUAUGAUCUCUCUCAAUUAAGAAAACAAUCAUGACAUGUUUACUUAUCCAGGAUGCGUAUGUACACUAUUCUGGACUUGCUUGCACCCUGAGCCAGAUUUGGGUAUUUUGUAUGGUGUUCAAUUUGGCUUUUCACUUGAUUUAUGUACUUAAAGUGUCUCUUUAAUAUAGAUCACUCACUUUCUUUGAACAUUUUGGUCUCUACAACUUCAGGUUCUUACACUAGUUUUGAUUUGUUAGGAUUAUAAUAGAUAUCUGACUAUGCAUUUGUAUAUUUUGAUUCCUAAUAGAAGCAUAAAAGGAGAGAUAUUAUUCUCAUUAAUAAUACCUCUAUUUCCUAAAUAUCAUUUAUCAUACUGUUUUAUUGUAAAUUUCCCAGAUGGUCAAGAGUAACUCAUACAUUUUUAUCGUUUCUCUCUUGUAGUUGUCUGGAAAAGAGUGGUGCCAGAUUCUAGUUGUGGAGCUAACCUCCCUUACAAGUUCAGCAUCUCUACCAAUUGCAACAUGUAUAAUUAAUAAACUUAUCUCACAAUGAUGUCAAAAUGUCCCAGAUGUUCACUUUGUUACCUCAAAAUAUUAAUCUAUGAACUUGGAUGUUGUACUUUGUAUUUGGAUUGGAUGUGAAUCAUUGCAGGGACUAGGAGUGAAUUUGUGCAAAAUCUGCACAAAUGCAGUCUGCACUGGUACGGGUAGUGAAUCUGUGCAAAUUUUAGUUUUUUUUGUUUUUCAAAAAAAAAAAAGGACCCGUGGACCCUAUCCGAACCGGCCCAUUUCA
rnacentral:lncRNA from 1 species